UGGGCGAAAGCCUGACGGAGCAAUGCCGCGUGGAGGUGGAAGGCCUACGGGUCGUCAACUUCUUUUCUCGGAGAAGAAACAAUGACGGUAUCUGAGGAAUAAGCAUCGGCUAACUCUGUGCCAGCAGCCGCGGUAAGACAGAAGAUGCAAGCGUUAUCCGGAAUGAUUGGGCGUAAAGCGUCUGUAGGUGGCUUUUCAAGUCCGCCGUCAAAUCCCAGGGCUCAACCCUGGACAGGCGG
rnacentral:ncRNA from 1 species